rnacentral:tRNA from 1 species
ACCUGUCUGGCUUAGUUGGUAGAGCAUUUGACUCUUGAUCUUGAGGUUGUGAGUUCAAGCCUCACAUUGGGUG